GGACCAGGGCAGCAUAAGAUAUAUCUCCACAUGACCUGCUCCAUUAAAGAGAAAUGAAGUUGACGUCAGAGGAGAAUAGAAGGCCACCUAUCCAUUAUUGAGAUUCCUUUCAGACUUUUCUUGCAGUGGCGUGUGCUUCUCUCAUGCCUUGAGGUCCACACGCGGUGACCAUACUGCAUUCAAACCGUUUCACCACCACCUUCCCUCUAUCUAUAAAUAGAGAUCAAAGCAGAGAGCAUAGAAGGCAUAAGCAUUCAUAUCAGCUACAUAAACUCCUAUACAACUUCCACUCUCUCCUCUAAUUUCACUCAUAAUGUCGGACAAGUGUAGCAGCUGCGACUGCUCGGACCCCAGCCAGUGUACGAAGAAAGGAAACAGCUACGGCAUCGAUAUCAUUGAGACUGGAAAGAGCCAUAUUGAGACUUUUGUCAUGGAUGCUCCAGCAGCUGAGAAUGGUGGAACGUGCAAGUGCGGCACCAGCUGUGCUUGUGUGAACUGCACAUGUGAUCAUUAAGCGCAUAAGCUAAUGUGACUCAAUGGGAGAUCACAAGUCUUUCAUAAUAAUGUGUUGUGAUGAAUAAUUUGUUUUCUGUGUUGUGCUUCUUAAUUAUUAUGCAACACCUGUGUGUCAUGUGUAUGUGUUUCCCCGCAUCUGUGUAAUGGUCACUCUGUGACCGUGUGGUUAUAAUGGAUUACUAUUAGUAUAUAA